GUCUCAGCAGUACAAUGGAUCAGCACGGCAGAUCGGAUAUCUGUAAGUGCGGAUUCAAGUCCCGCCUAAGGUU
rnacentral:tRNA from 1 species